GCCCGUCACACCAUGGGAGGUCGGAAAUGCCCGAAGUCAGUGACCCAACCGUAAGGAGGGAGCUGCCGAAGGUGGAGCCGGUAACUGGGGUGAAGUCGUAACAAGGUAGC
rnacentral:rRNA from 1 species